rnacentral:rRNA from 1 species
CUUAAAUUGAAGAGUUUGAUCAUGGCUCAGAUUGAACGCUGGCGGCAGGCCUAACACAUGCAAGUCGAGCGGAAACGAGUUAUCUGAACCUUCGGGGAACGAUAACGGCGUCGAGCGGCGGACGGGUGAGUAAUGCCUAGGA